rnacentral:lncRNA from 1 species
UAUUAUAUCUGGCAUAGUCCCAGAUUAUAUUCUUUGUUAAUAUGCAUCCUUCAUUUAAAGUCUUGUUUUUCUUAUAACACUUUACAUCGUAUAUCAGGGGCACUGCCGAAAAUAAUCUUUCAAAAAGCAAAUCUAAGUUGUAACCUUUAGAACUUGUAUGUCUGAUAAUUUGCUCACAUGACAAGAAAUUUUACAAUAAACAUUGGUCACG